rnacentral:rRNA from 1 species
UACGUAGGGGGGCUAGCGUUGUCCGGAUUUAUUGGGCGUAAAGAGCGUGUAGGCGGCCAGAUAGGUCUGCUGUGAAAACUCGAGGCUCAACCUCGAGACGUCGGUGGAAACCGUAUGGCUAGAGUCCGGAAGAGGAGAGUGGAAUUCCUGGUGUAGCAGUGAAAUGCGCAGAUAUCAGGAAGAACACCCGUGGCGAAGGCGGCUCUCUGGGACGGUACUGACGCUGAGACGCGAAAGCGUGGGGAGCGAACAGG